UGCUACUGUAACUGGCGUUAGCACAAUAACUAGACUUCUAUGGCAACGUUUAGCAUGCUAGCUUUAACCAUAGGCAUCCAGUCAGUAGUUAUCAUUGGCUCGCAAAACCACCUCCGCCUUCCUUCAUACUGGAUGCAGAGAUAUAAAAAUGGGAUCAACAAGGUCAUCUGAUUCCAGCUCUCAUACUUAGGUGUGAAAAUGAAUAUGAAUAUGGAGAGAACACCACCAACGACAAACAGCAGAGGAACAGUACACAACUGGAAAGAAAGAAACACAAACAUACAAACGUAUGACCAGAUGGAGUGUGGGGUUCUAAUAGCUGGGUUCUAAUGUUCUUUACCCUGUCAGAGGAAUUGUAGAUGUGGCCCAUAGAUCCAUAUAUGGGCGUAUCGUUGUUUCUCAAACCAUUAAUACGUCUCAAUGACUCAGCCAGCUCAUUGGGAUCAAUGGAGUGAUCCUCAUCACCAUUCUUUCAUCACAGGAGAAGCAUGCAAACGGAAAAGAUAAACAAACAAACAAACAAAGCACUAAAAUGAUUAUGAGAAUCAUGCAAUAUAGAGGAAUUCACUGUGGAUAUGCCUGAAACACUGUGGACAUGCCUGAAACGCCGUGGACAUGCCUGAACCACUGUGGACAUGCCUGAAACACUGUGGACAUGCCUGAAACGCCGUGGACAUGCCUGAACCACUGUGGACAUGCCUGAAACACUGUGGACAUGCCUGAAACGCGCUAUGCAUACGCCUGAAACCCUGUGGAUAUGCCUGGAACGCUGUGGACAUGCCUGAAAUGCUGUGGACAUGACUGAAACCCUGUGGAUAUGCCAGAAACACAUGAAAAUAGACAAGAACAUCAAACAAGAAGGUGAAUCAAAACAAAUGUUGUGCCAUGCUUUAAGAAACUGGGCGAGGUGAAAUUGAACAUAACAUAAUUGUUUUGUGUGUGUGUGUUGGUAUUUGACUUCUCGAUAAGUUGGUUACCACAAGUUCGUUAGAGAAAGGCUGAGGCCUGCAUGUUUGAAUUGACAAUGACCCAUAUCCACUUACUACACUUCAGAGUGACUUUUUCCUCCUCUUGGUAACAAGCAGUGUUCAUUCAUCUUUAUCUCAUCGUGUUCUAUCUCAAUUUCCCUCCAUCUCUUUGAUUUGAUUGGCCUGAGUAUUCCCUUGGUAAAAUCCACACAGUAUAAAGAAAAUGGACUCCUCCCCUGGUACAGAGAGAGGCAGUCUUUUUUUGUAUGUCUCCAUUUUAUAUUAAUGGAUGAGGGAUAGGAAGAAACACAGACAUCAGCCAAAUGUUCAGACACUGACCCGUUCUGUCCUUCAGGAAGCUUUGUAGUAAACAUGUCGAAGUAAACAUUGGAAGUUUUAUCCUUGGUGCACGCCAGGUUGGUGUAGCAACAGUAUAUGGCCACAGGGGUGCAGUGUUGACUGGAUGGAUGGUAGAACGUUGCACCUGUUGGGGAAGUUGCUUUGCUGGUGUGCCUCAACUUUUCUUUGUGUCAAACAAGGCCAUGUUGUUUUGCCUAGUCCGAAUACAAAUAUUAUGCAAAUGUUC